rnacentral:lncRNA from 1 species
AUCGAGAUAACGAGUGAAUGGUGCUGGUUCUGCUCCCAUGAUUUCAUAGUUGCUAUUAAGUAGAAACUUUAAUGAUGGGAUCCAGACCGUUUCUUUAGCACCAUCUAUUGCAACUAAGGAUUGGUUUGACUAGACCAUCGAGUUAGCUGGUGCACUGGGAGCAUGAUCAUGUGGCUCAAGGACCCAAUAAGUUGGCCAA